rnacentral:rRNA from 1 species
UACGUAGGGGGCUAGCGUUGUCCGGAAUCAUUGGGCGUAAAGCGCGUGUAGGCGGUCCGGUAAGUCCGCUGUGAAAGUCGGGGGCUCAACCCUCGAAAGCCGGUGGAAACUGUCGGGCUAGAGUGCGGAAGAGGCGAGUGGAAUUCCUGGUGUAGCGGUGAAAUGCGCAGAUAUCAGGAGGAACACCAAUUGCGAAGGCAGCUCGCUGGGACGUUACUGACGCUGAGACGCGAAAGCGUGGGGAGCAAACAGGAUUAGAAC